rnacentral:rRNA from 1 species
GUGGGGAAUCUUGCGCAAUGGGCGAAAGCCUGACGCAGCCAUGCCGCGUGAAUGAUGAAGGUCUUAGGAUUGUAAAAUUCUUUCACCGGGGACGAUAAUGACGGUACCCGGAGAAGAAGCCCCGGCUAACUUCGUGCCAGCAGCCGCGGUAAUACGAAGGGGGCUAGCGUUGCUCGGAAUUACUGGGCGUAAAGGGCGCGUAGGCGGACAGUUUAGUCAGAGGUGAAAGCCCAGGGCUCAACCUUGGAAUUGCCUUUGAUACUGGCUGUCUUGAGUGCGGGAGAGGUGAGUGGAACUCCGAGUGUAGAGGUGAAAUUCGUAGAUAUUCGGAAGAACACCAGUGGCGAAGGCGACUCACUGGCCCGUUACUGACGCUGAGGCGCGAAAGCGUGGGGAGCAAACAGGAUUAGAUACCCGGGUAGUCC